GAAUCUCCUUUAUUUGAUCUAGAAGUUGGCUCCUCACAGACACCUAAAAGCUCUGAUGAUACAUUUUUUGCCAGUAAAGAAGUGCAGGAUCAGGUUGAUGAGGCUAUUGCACGUGUGUUGGAGUCUACUGAACUUCAUUGUAAAGAUGAAGAUACACUUGCACCACCAUCAUCUGGACUACCUGUGAAGAGAGCACAAAAGCCAUCGAAAACUCUGCAGUCACCUUUUGUUAAGGUCGAUCCACGUCAUGCUGCUACUGGAUCAAAAUCUAACACUGUAAACGUCGUGUUCCAAAAUUAUUCGAAAGGAGUUGAUAGCACAGAUCUGAGUUCAUUUAAGAAUUGGUUUGACAGAGGAUACAAGCCCAAGAACAAGGUAAAGUUUAACGAUGCAGAUAACGUGAUAAGUCCUCAAUUUGUAUGUGGCACUGUCGCUGUUCAUUAUAAAACUUGGUGGCAUGCAUUGAUUGAUUCUAAUUCAUCAUUGAACAGCAUGGUACAAUUUUUUCACCAUUUUCCACAUAUGCAUAGUAGUUUUGUAUU